ensembl:lncRNA
UAAGAGGGUUAGAUAUGUUAGGAGGGUUAGAUGUGUUAGGGGGGUUAGGAGGGUUAGGAGGGUUAAGAGGGUUAGAUGUGUUAAGAGGGUUAGAUAUGUUAGGAGGGUUAGAUAUGUUAGAUGUGUUGGGGGGGUUAGAUGUGUUAGGAGGGUUAGGAGGGUUAGAUGUGUUGGGAGGGUUAGGAGGGUUAGAUGUGUUAGGAGGGUUAGAUGUGUUCGGAGGGUUAGGAGGGUUAUAAGUGUUAAGAGGGUUAGAUAUGUUAAGAGGGUUAGAUAUGUUAGGAGGGUUAGAUGUGUUAGGGGUUUGGAGGGUUAGGAGGGUUAAGUUAGAAGGGUUAGAUGUGUUAGGAGGGUUAGAUAUGUUAGGAGGGUUAGAUGUGUUAGGAGGGUUAGAUGUGUUAGGAGGGUUAGAUGUGUUAGGAGGGUUAGAUG